GAAAUGCGAUAAGUAGUGUGAAUUGCAGAAUUCAGUGAAUCAUCGAAUCUUUGAACGCACAUUGCGCCCCUUGGUAUUCCAUGGGGCAUGCCUGUUCGAGCGUCAUUUGUACCUUCAAGCUUUGCUUGGUGUUGGGUGUUUGUCUCGCCUCUGCGUGUAGACUCGCCUCAAAACAAUUGGCAGCCGGCGUAUUGAUUUCGGAGCGCAGUACAUCUCGCGCUUUGCACUCAUAACGACGACGUCCAAAAGUACAUUUUUACACUCUUGACCUCGGAUCAGGUAGGGAUACCCGCUGAACUUAAG
rnacentral:misc_RNA from 1 species